rnacentral:rRNA from 1 species
GUCCACGCCGUAAACGAUGUCUACUUGAAGGUUGUGGCCUUGAGCCGUGGCUUUCGGAGCUAACGCGUUAAGUAGACCGCCUGGGGAGUACGGUCGCAAGAUUAAAACUCAAAUGAAUUGACGGGGGCCCGCACAAGCGGUGGAGCAUGUGGUUUAAUUCGAUGCAACGCGAAGAACCUUACCUACUCUUGACAUCCAGAGAAUUCGCUAGAGAUAGCUUAGUGCCUUCGGGAACUCUGAGACAGGUGCUGCAUGGCU